rnacentral:tRNA from 1 species
UGCGGAUAUGGUCAAAUGGUAAAAUUUCU